ensembl:snRNA U1 U1 spliceosomal RNA
ACACUUAUCUGGCUGGGGAGAUACCGUGAUCAUGAAGGUGGUUCCCAGAGUGAGGCUCAUCCAUUGCACUUUGGUUGUGCUGACCCCUGUGAUUUCCCCAAAUGCAGAAUUUAUAGUAGUGAGGGACUGUGUUCGUGCUUUCCCCUG